UACGUAGGUGGCAAGCGUUGUCCGGAUUUAUUGGGCGUAAAGCGAGCGCAGGCGGUUCUUUAAGUCUGAUGUGAAAGCCCCCGGCUCAACCGGGGAGGGUCAUUGGAAACUGGAGGACUUGAGUGCAGAAGAGGAGAGUGGAAUUCCAUGUGUAGCGGUGAAAUGCGUAGAUAUAUGGAGGAACACCAGUGGCGAAGGCGGCUCUCUGGUCUGUAACUGACGCUGAGGCUCGAAAGCGUGGGGAGCAAACAGG
rnacentral:rRNA from 1 species